rnacentral:lncRNA from 1 species
CCCUGUUGCAACUUGAAAUUUUUCCAGAAAGUUCAACUAUCGUGUUUUGAGUUCCAGCUAAUUUCAAUCCAAUUUCUUGAUUCCAUUAGCAUCUUCGACAUCCUCUGAAACUUUUGCAAUGAUUCCCAAGAUCUAAGACCUUAUGAUUAGCUCCAACCAGAUCAAGCUCCAUCAACUUCUGAUCACCAUUUGGACAAGGUAGUUCUGAGCAUCAUUUAAACUCAAACAAGUUACCACAAUGUAGUCUUUCACUCUCUGAU